AGCGGGAACUGCUGUGCUUUCUCUCGGCUGCAGCCCAGAGUCUCCUUCAGGGCCAGGGGAAUGGAAAACGGGGUUCUCAGGCUGUGGACUGUCCUGCCAGAGCAGGUUCCGGGGACCGGGCAGCUGGCAUAACAACCUGCCACAGUUGCUUUAGGGUGGACCUCCGUAAGACCCCUCUGCAAAUCUUGUCCAGCUGUGUUGUGGAAGGAGUAGGACUCGGUGGAACAGGAAUGCAUUCUGGCCAGUCUGAGAAUCGCUAGAAUGUGCCAAGCUCAGAUUCAGAUGCCAGUGACCGAAGAUCUGUGGGUGUAACCACAACGAGGGCUGGGCACAUGGAGGAGAGACUGGAGCUGCUCUCUCGGAGUUUCUGCUUGGGCCACUGCUUCCUCAUCCUGGCAAGGUAGGGCCAGGCACGGGGGACAGAGUCCUGCUUCCAUCCUGCUUUCCCCUCGGCUUUGGGUGAGCUCUAAUGACUUGGGAGUGAAUCAGCACAGACUGAGAUGAUACGAUAGGGAAGAAAGGAGACGACAGCACCGAGGCUGGAAAUGUCACCUCUCCCAGGACCAGCCUCAGGAAACACACUCGGGGUCUGGACAGUGCUGGAGGCGAAUGGACACCUGCCCGGCCCGGCCACAUCUUCUGCACGUGCUCACGGCUCCUGUCUUCACAUCCCACAGCAAGAGCCCAUUGACGUCCCACUCCAAGGCUGCAUGUGUUGGUUGCCUACGCAGGACCCUCUCCCGAGGCCAGGGUGGAAGGAGGCCUGCGUGGAUGGAGGGGCUGACCUCCGGCUGUCACGGGUGAUGUGAUUUUACUGCUUCCCGACUCUCUCCUGUGUGCAGCCCUGAGAGUCGCUGGCACUGACCCAGGCCUUUCCAGGGUGGAGACAAGCCUCUGAGCCAAAGUCAGCACCAAGGCCCUUUCCCCCAAGGCAUUUGCCUGUGCCAGGCCACCAGGUCCCACCAGGUCCCAUCAGGCUGGGGCGCUGACCACAGAUGGGAGGGUGCAAACCCCUUCCUGUCCUGCCCCUCUCCCCUGCCUGUCCUCCCACUGACGGAUACAAGGAGGGAGGACUCAGACCUGGCUCCGUUGCCUGUGUUCAGAACCCCACCGUGCUCUCGGCUGACUCUAACCAAAUCCAUGUCCUCGGAAACUGUUUCAAGGGGCCCCAUGUCUUUCAUUCCACCUACCAGUGCCUGGGCUCCCAUGGCCGUUCAGCCUCAAUUCCCCUCUUCAGCCGGGUGGAUCCAUUCACACCCCACCCCAGGGCCCACUGUUCCCCAGCUUUCAUGCUUAGAAGGGUAGUUACGCUGAGUGCUGGCUCUGUCUCUGUCUCUGUCUUGGCUUCCCUGACACAGAACAUGAGGCAAAGAUCUAGUCUCUUCCAAAUGAGUGAGAUGUCUCUGACGAUCACUGGAUGGGGCGCUUCUCUGAAACUCUGGACUUUCCGUGAUCCCCAAACUCCUUGAAACACAGGGUGGGUCGGUGCCCAGGAUGUGCUUUGUGGCAUGACAGAAGACAAUCA
rnacentral:lncRNA from 1 species